GAUGAACGCUGGCGGCGUGCCUAAUACAUGCAAGUCGAGCGAACGGACGAGGAGCUUGCUUUUCUGAUGUUAGCGGCGGACGGGUGAGUAACACGUGGAUAACCUACCUAUAAGACUGGGAUAACUUCGGGAAACCGGAGCUAUACCGGAUAAUAUUUUUAACCCCCUUGUUCCAAAAGUAAAAGCGGUCUUUCCUUUACUUAUUAAUUGAUCCGCGCUGCAUUAGCUAGUUGGUAAGGUAACGGCUUACCAAGGCAACGAUGCCUAGCCGACCUGAGAGGGUGAUCGGCCACACUGGAACUGAGACACGGUCCAGACUCCUACGGGAGGCAGCAGUAGGGAAUCUUCCGCAAUGGGCGAAAGCCUGACGGAGCAACGCCGCGUGAGUGAUGAAGGUCUUCGGAUCGUAAAACUCUGUUAUUAGGGAAGAACAUAUGUGUAAGUAACUAUGCACAUCUUGACGGUACCUAAUCAGAAAGCCACGGCUAACUACGUG
rnacentral:rRNA from 1 species